rnacentral:rRNA from 1 species
UGAAGAGCUUGCUUUUCAAAGUUAGUGGCGGACGGGUGAGUAACGCGUGGGUAACCUGCCUCAUACAGGGGGAUAGCAGCUGGAAACGGCUGAUAAAACCGCAUAAGCGCACAGCAUCGCAUGAUGCAGUGUGAAAAACUCCGGUGGUAUGAGAUGGACCCGCGUUGGAUUAGCUAGUUGGUGAGGUAACGGCCCACCAAGGCGACGAUCCAUAGCCGACCUGAGAGGGUGACCGGCCACAUUGGGACUGAGACACGGCCCAAACUCC